rnacentral:rRNA from 1 species
AAAAAGAAGCAGCUUGCUGCUUCCCUGACGAGUGGAGGACGGGUGAGUAAUGUCUGGGAAACUGCCUGAUGGAGGGGGAUAUCCACUGGAAACGGUAGCUAAUACCGCAUAACGUCGCAAGACCAAAGAGGGGGACCUUCGGGCCUCUUGCCAUCGGAUGUGCCCAGAUGGGAUUAGCUAGUAGGUGGGGUAACGGCUCACCUAGGCGACGAUCCCUAGCUGGUCUGAGAGGAUGACCAGCCACACUGGAACUGAGACACGGUCCAGACUCCUACGGGAGGCAGCAGUGGGGAAUAUUGCACAAUGGGCGCAAGCCUGAUGCAGCCAUGCCGCGUGUAUGAAGAAGGCCUUCGGGUUGUAAAGUACUUUCAGCGGGGAGGAAGGGAGUAAAGUUAAUACCUUUGCUCAUUGACGUUACCCGCAGAAGAAGCACCGGCUAACUCCGUGCCAGCAACCGCGGUAAUACGGAAGGGUGCAAGCCGUUAAUCGGAAUUACUGGG